AAAAACAGUGAACACUUUAAGUAUUAAGUAACAGAUAACAGGAAUCCCAAUUUCAAAUAAACAGUUAACAACAUUGCAAAUUUUAACAGAACAGAUUACAGACAGUGGGUCGAAAACAGUUAACAGUUUAAAUUUAUCUCAAAUAACAGUUUUAACCAAAACCUUGAAAAGGACAAAACAGUUUAACAUAAAAAGGUACAUCCC
rnacentral:lncRNA from 1 species